GCCGAACAAGUAAUAGCCUCCUCUUCCGCUCCCUUGGCGGGGCGCUCUAGCCCUCCGACCUCGCGGCCCGGCCGCCGAGCUGGCGCCUGCGCGUUGCUGCCGAGUCGUCUCCCGCCCGGUCUCUCCCUCUCUCUCUUCCCCGCCCCCCCCCUCUUCUUCUGCUUAGCUGAAGCGGCGGCGGGUCGCANCCCCCCCUCUUCUUCUGCUUAGCUGAAGCGGCGGCGGGUCGCAGGUUGAGGCGAGGCGGGCGCGGGCCUCCGCCAGCUAUGGACCUGGAGGCGUCCGACGAGACGGGCUCCACUGGAGGAGCCGAGGCGGGAGCCGGAGCCGUCACCCCCGAAGCGGGCGGUUGGGGUUCGCCGCCGGACUCGGCUGCAGGAGGAGCUGUGUUAUUGUACGCUGCUUCUUCAUAUGCCAGGAAAAACUUGCCACAUGUGAAAUCCAGCUUCCUGUAUGACUUCCUUCUUGCCUUGAUCAUUACAGCAAAAAUCAAAUCGAAUUCUUGGCUGGGAAUUAAAGACCCCAUGGAGUUGUCAACAAGGAGCUUUUGUCAAUCAGAGGCAGGCUAAGUUAUUCU
rnacentral:lncRNA from 1 species